GCCAGGUGUGGUGGCGCAUGCCGGUAAUCCCAGCUACUUGGAGGCUGAGGCAGGAAAAUCGCUUGAACCCAGGAGGCAGAGGUUGCAGUGAGCCGAGACCGUGCCACUGUGCUCCAGCCUGGCAACAGAGCGAGACUCUGUCCCCAACCCCCCCAAAAAAGAAAAAGAAAAACAGAAAAAGUUUUAUAAGUUUUUUUUUUUUUUUUGAGACAGUCUCGCUCUGUUGCCCAGGCUGGAGUGCAGUGGUGCAAUCUCGGCUCACUGCACCACCUCCCAGGUUCAAACAAUUCUCCUGCCUCA
rnacentral:sRNA from 1 species